GAGUUUGAUCAUGGCUCAGGAUGAACGCCGGCGGUGUGCCUAAUACAUGCAAGUCGUACGCACUGGCCCAACUGAUUGAUGGUGCUUGCACCUGAUUGACGAUGGAUCACCAGUGAGUGGCGGACGGGUGAGUAACACGUAGGUAACCUGCCCCGGAGCGGGGGAUAACAUUUGGAAACAGAUGCUAAUACCGCAUAACAACAAAGGCCACAUGGCUUUUGUUUGAAAGAUGGCUUUGGCCAUCACUCUGGGAUGGACCUGCGGUGCAUUAGCUAGUUGGUAAGGCAACGGCUUACCAAGGCGAUGAUGCAUAGCCGAGUUGAGAGACUGAUCGGCCACAAAUGGAACUGAGACACGGUCCAUACUCCUACGGGAGGCAGCAGUAGGAAUCUUCCACAAUGGGCGCGAGCCUGAUGGGAGCAACACCGCGUGAGUGAAGAAGGUUUCGG
rnacentral:rRNA from 1 species